rnacentral:SRP_RNA from 1 species
GCUGGGCGUGGUAGUGGGCGCCUGUAGUCCCAGCUACUUGGGAGGCUGAGGCAGGAGAAUAGCUUGAACCCAGGAGGUGGAGAUUGCAGUGAGCCGAGAUCGCGCCACUGCACUCUAACCUGGGCAACAAAGCGAGACUCUGUCUCAA